GAUAACGGGUAACGCCCGCCCAGAGCGAUCUGAGGAAAAGUGCAACAGAAAUAGACCGCCCGAGGUAUGCAAGUAUCUCAGGUAAGGAUGGAAAGGUGCGGAAAGAGCGCACCCGUCGGCUCGAGAGUGUCCGAUGCUGUAAACUCUAUCCGGAGCAACACCGGUAUGGGAGCAGGGGGUCCGACCCCCAAGGCUGGCCCGGCCGCUCCCGGGGUGGCUGGAGCGUACCGGCGACGGUACGUCGAGAUAGAUGACUGUUUGAUACAGAACCCGGCUUACAGUCUUGCUCGUACA
rnacentral:RNase_P_RNA from 1 species